rnacentral:rRNA from 1 species
GUCGAGGGGUAUGCGUCUUCGGAUGUUGAGACCGGCGCACGGGUGCGUAACGCGUAUGCAAUCUGCCUUUCACAGAGGGAUAGCCCAGAGAAAUUUGGAUUAAUACCUCAUAGCAUCAUGACCCGGCAUCGGGAUAUGAUUAAAGUCACAACGGUGAAAGAUGAGCAUGCGUCCCAUUAGCUAGUUGGUAAGGUAACGGCUUACCAAGGCUACGAUGGGUAGGGGUCCUGAGAGGGAGAUCCCCCACACUGGUACUGAGACACGGACCAGACUCCUACGGGAGGCAGCAGUGAGGAAUAUUGGUCAAUGGGCGCAAGCCUGAACCAGCCAUGCCGCGUGCAGGAUGACGGUCCUAUGGAUUGUAAACUGCUUUUGUACGGGAAGAAACACUCCUACGUGUAGGAGCUUGACGGUACCGUAAGAAUAAGGAUCGGCUAACUCCGUGCCAGCAGCCGCGGUAAUACGGAGGAUCCAAGCGUUAUCCGGAAUCAUUGGGUUUAAAGGGUCCGUAGGCGGUCCUGUAAGUCAGUGGUGAAAGCCCAUCGCUCAACGAUGGAACGGCCAUUGAUACUGCAGGACUUGAAUUACCAGGAAGCAACUAGAAUAUGUAGUGUAGCGGUGAAAUGCUUAGAGAUUACAUGGAAUACCAAUUGCGAAGGCAGGUUGCUACUGGUUGAUUGACGCUGAUGGACGAAAGCGUGGGUAGCGAACAGGAUAGAUACCCUGGUAGUCCACGCCGUAAACGAUGGAUACUAGCUGUUGGGGGCACUUCAGUGGCUAAGCGAAAGUGAUAAGUAUCCCACUGGGGAGUACGGACGCAGUUG